rnacentral:tRNA from 1 species
ACCUGGGUGGCUCAGUCAGUGAAGCGUCUGACUUCAGCUCAGGUCAUGAUCCCAGAGUUUGUGGGUUCGAGCCCCACAUCGGGCU